AUUCGGCAGGAUCGCCCCCCGUCAGCGAGGAUUCGCCCACGGGGGUCAAGGUC
rnacentral:sRNA from 1 species